GACGAACGCUGGCGGCGUGCCUAACACAUGCAAGUGGAGCGACGAACCAGGCUUCGGCCUGGGGCAAAGCCGCGAACGGGUGAGUAACACGUGGGUAACCUGCCCUGAUGAUUGGGACAACCCGAGGAAACUCGGGCUAAUACCAAAUGUGCCCUUCGGCCAUAAGGCCGCCGGGGAAAGGAAGCUUCGGCCUCCGCAUCUGGAUGGGCCCGCGGCCCAUUAGCUUGUUGGUGAGGUAACGGCUCACCAAGGCGACGAUGGGUAGCUGGUCUGAGAGGACGAUCAGCCACACUGGGACUGAGACACGGCCCAGACUCCUACGGGAGGCAGCAGUGGGGAAUCUUGCGCAAUGCGCGAAAGCGUGACGCAGCAACGCCGCGUGGGGGAAGAAGGCCUCGGGUU
rnacentral:rRNA from 1 species